GGCAGCGGGAACUGUGCGUUGGCUGUUCCUCGCAGUAUUUAGAAAGUCUACAGGUGAGAACUGCAAGAGACACAAGAAACGGCAGCACGAGAACACGACCUGUGCAGUGCCGUAGAGUUCUGAAGAACGAAAUGGCAUUGAUAUGAGAGGGGGCAGCAUGAGAAUGUGAGCUGCAGGGUGCAGUGUAGUAGGUAAAAGAUUCUUUGCGGAAUGAGACAGCAGUGCUGCCAGGUGCUCUGAAGAAGGCAAAUGUCAUGAAGGAGGAGGAGGGACUUCCGAGAGAAGCACAGAAGAGGCGGUACAAGAAUGCCGGCUGCGCAGCAUUGAGGUGAAGGUAAGACAGCUGCUGAAGACUGAGCCGGCAUUGCUGUGAGGCACUGUGGAAACGUAACGCUGCCUGUCAAUUAUUACCAGUCUCAUGAGGUAUGGGAAACAACGAAGCAAGACCCGAUCAUUGCAAAUUACUCAGAACCCUAAUACAUCGGCAAGCACGAGAAGCGCUCAGGUGACUGGGCUUGUCCGCCCUUUUGCACAUCGUCACGAUGACCUGUACGCCCAGGCUGGCCUGUUGGAGGACGCCUGGCACUUCAGCCACGGCUAGACAACAGCCCGCUGUCCCCUUUGGCAUAUGGAUGAACCUGGUCAAGGUCAGGAUCACCAGCCACGCCCAGCCUGAUCUGCCAGCCCACAGACUCAUGAGCUGAAUACAGUUUUUCUUGAAAUUUAUUCUUCAGUCUUAUAUAACACCUUUGUUGUAGGAACAAUACUAACCAUUGAUAUUAUUAGGAUAAAUGAGACAAGGUCACAGCGCUCAGGAAACUCAUGGAUCAGUGAUGGAGACAGAUGCAUGGAUAUAAAUUAAAAUUCAAACGUGAGAAUAAUGAGAUAUUACAAAAGAGGGCUUUGAAAGCUGUAAACUUCCUUAUAAAUAUUAAGUAACUGAUGACUCCACACUGGCAGACAUGAUCUCCCUCUUUCUUCAGCCGUCUGUUAAAAAAAGGCUUUUUUUAAGCCCACCAAGUGUUUUGGGGUGGUUUACUAAUCGGUAUUACUAUGGCGACAGAUCACUGAUACAUUAUAGACAAAUAUCCAUUGCAACACAUAAAAUAGUAACAAAGAUGUAUAUUUUUAAAACUCUAACCCUCACACCAUCCUCUAUCUUAACCUUCCACCUAUAAAUCCUUGCUCAGAAUUAUGUAAGCGUGUACUCACAUAUAUAGGCUAAUUUUUGUGGGUUUGUGUUUAACAAAAUAAAACCAAUUUUGCAAUUUGCUUUUAACAUUUAGCAAUUUAUAAUGGACAUCUUUCUGGUCAGUAGAUAACAAUUUACAUUUUUUCUAAUUUCUUACACGCACACAUGCAUACGGUAACUAUAUAUAAGUUGUCUGCCAUGAAAUUCAAGGUUUCAGUGGUGCCGCUUCUUCUUGCCUUCUUCCCCACAUCACCUGCUUCACCGUCUCCCCGACAUACAGACACGCACACGCACGCACCGCACACCAUCAGACGUGGUAUGCCUCUCCUUUCCUUUGUGCUUAUAUAAUUAUACACAAAUAAACAUUUUAUUGUUUGUUUUAUUUUAAAA